rnacentral:rRNA from 1 species
AGUACGUGGUGCUCCUUGUAACAAUACCAGAGGUAUCCUACUGGCGCACGGGUGAGUAACGCGUUGGUGACCUACCCCAAAGUGUGGGAUAACAGUUCGAAAGAACUGCUAAUACCGCAUGUGGUUAUCGGGUUUAGAAACCGAUAACUAAAGGAGCAAUUCGCUUUGGGAGGGACCUGCGUCCCAUCAGCUAGUUGGUGAGGUAACGGCUCACCAAGGCGACGACGGGUAGGGGACCUGAGAGGGUGACCCCCCACAAUGGAACUGAAACACGGUCCAUACACCUACGGGUGGCAGCAGUAGGGAAUAUUGCUCAAUGGGCGAAAGCCUGAAGCAGCAACGCCGCGUGCGCGAUGAAGGUCUUCGGAUCGUAAAGCGCUUUUAUGAGGGAUGAGAACGGACAGUACCUCAGGAAUAAGUCUCGGCUAACUACGUGCCAGCAGCCGCGGUAAAACGUACGAGGCAAGCGUUAUCCGGAUUCACUGGGCGUAAAGCGCGUGCAGGCGGUUCGGUAAGUUGGGCGUGAAAUCUCCUGGCUUAACUAGGAGAGGUCGUCCAAUACUACCGGGCUAGAGAGUGGUACAGGAAAAUGGAAUUCCCGGUGUAGUGGUGAAAUGCGUAUAUAUCGGGAGGAACACCAGUGGCGAAAGCGAUUUUCUGGACCAUUUCUGACGCUCAGACGCGAAAGCUAGGGUAGUAAACGGGAUUAUAGACCCCGGUAAUCCUACCCGUAAACGAUGUAAACUUGGCGUUGGUGGCUUAAACACCAUCAGUGCCGCAGCUAACGCGAUAAGUUUAC